GACACUCAACAACGGAUAUCUAGGCUAUUGCAUCGAAGACAAACGUAGUGAAAUGCGAUAUGAAUUGUAGAAUCUUGUAAACCAUCAAGUCUUUGAAAGUAAGUUGCGCGCACACAUAUGCUGCCACAUUCAGCCCUG
rnacentral:rRNA from 2 species